rnacentral:snoRNA from 1 species
AUUCCGUGAUGAGGGCACUUCCGUAAUAAUUCUUUGUAUCUUUCUUAUGCAUCAUACAAGGACUCAUCAUCUAUUUGUUAGAAAGCAGUGAUCUCGUUCCUCAACUU